CGACCCAUAUUGAUCUGCUCAUUCCACCCCGGGCACGGCCGCGCCUCCGGAUUCCGAAUCCUUCAUCCCCGCGCGCGGCACGCCCAAUCCCCCUCAAACCCUAACUCCGCUCUUUCUCAGCGCACUGCCACCGGCGCCUCGCCUCGCCUCAUUUUGAAUGCCGCCGAUGGCGGCUUCCAGUCACCGGUGUCUAGACGCCCCACCAUCGACCGCUCCUGUCCACGGCCGAUCCCGCCGCAUAUGUCAUACGGCGCGACAGGAAGACUUCCUGCAACGGCGGCCUCUUUCUUCACCGCCACGAAUAUAUCGAAGACGGCGUUGGAGAAGGUUGAAGAGGGGAUCAAGUGCCAUGCUGAUCAGGGCGGCGGCCGGCUGGGGAGCCAAAGCCACCAUCGCCCUGGGCCUCAUACUCUCACCUCUGUUUGUAGGCUCCGUUGUCAUGCGGUGCCUCGCAGAACAGCUGCGUCUUCCAUGGACGCGGUCGACAAAGACAGGAUCUUGCCAUUCCUACUGUCGCAAUACAAAUUCACCAUGUUGCCAAGCCUCAGAUUGGAAUGACUUGUAGCUGCCACUGACUUCCCUAAACCUCACGACAUAUUGUCAGUUUCAAUAUCAAGCCACCUCCCCUUUUCAGUUCCCAUGCUCAUUUGCACAUUGUACGGUAGGUGAUCGAUUUAAUGCUUACUCAGGGAAUAACAUCCAUUGUAUCUCCAAGUAAUUUUUUCUUUGAUGGCAUUACCCCUUUACUUUUGAAUCUUCCGAUUGUGAUUUUUAUCACAAGUCGUGAGCAAUUCAACGACAGAUGAACUUCCCUCUUA